rnacentral:lncRNA from 10 species
UUUAAUUUUUAGGGAUGUGUUUGAUAUGAUCCUAAAUAAUGUGGCUGACUGAACUUCCUGCUUCCUAAUUAUUUGUAUAUCUUCUAGAUACUUCUAUAUAUGCUGGCUUAAAAAACUGGCACAGAGAAGCAUCGCUGGACUUGGUUUUUCUUUUUCUCUUUUCUCCUAUGGGGAAUUCUAAGCAGCAGAGUGAAGAAGAGUGCUCACCAGAUUCCCUUCUGGUCUGGAAAAAGAAAUUCCUUCUUUUGUGGAUGUCAUCUCUACCAUCUCUCGAAAAAUACUCCCAGAAGUUUGUUUGCAUUAUGAAGAUCAGGUCUUGAGAGACCCAGUCUGGCUCUUCCCUGUACAAAACAUUCCUCACAAACAGAAUAUGGACAAUUGCUAAAUGUCAAAGGUAAAGUUAUUGUGGGAACUCCUUCAAAAAGUUCAAGUGAGAGCUCAUUCUAUGAGGGACCAUUUACACCUAAUUUUUUUGUGUGUGCUAUGUUACUUAUUCUGAAGUGGUUGAUCCAAUUACUAAAAGGGAAUAUUGCAUUACCUUUUAUUUCCUAUAGCAUCCAUUCUGACCCC